rnacentral:rRNA from 1 species
UACGAAGGGGGCUGGCGUUGCUCGGAAUUACUGGGCGUAAAGCGCACGUAGGCGGAUUGUUAAGUCGGGGGUGAAAUCCUGGAGCUCAACUCCAGAACUGCCUUCGAAACUGGCGAUCUUGAGUCCGGGAGAGGUGAGUGGAACUGCGAGUGUAGAGGUGAAAUUCGUAGAUAUUCGCAAGAACACCAGUGGCGAAGGCGGCUCACUGGCCCGGUACUGACGCUGAGGUGCGAAAGCGUGGGGAGCAAACAGG